rnacentral:rRNA from 1 species
UACGAGGGGGGCAAGCGUUGUUCGGAAUUAUUGGGCGUAAAGGGCGCGUAGGCGGUGCGGUAAGUCACCUGUGAAAACUCUGGGCUCAACUCAGAGCCUGCAGGCGAAACUGCCGUGCUUUGAGUGUGGGGAGAGGUGCGUGGAAUUCCCGGUGUAGCGGUGGAAUGCGCAGAUAUCAGGAGGAACACCGGUGGCGAAAGGCGGGGU